AUACGUAGGUCCCGAACGUUGCGCGAAAUUACUGGGCGUAAAGGGUCAGUAGGCGGUCUGGUAAGUGGAAGGUGAAAGCCUGGGGCUCAACUCCAGAAUUGCCUUCCAAACUGCCGGACUUGAGGCAGGGAGAGGUCGGCGGAAUUCCCGGUGUAGCCGUGAAAUGCGUAGAUAUCGGGAGGAACACCAGUGGCGAAGGCGGCCGACUGGAACUGUCCUGACGCUGAGGGACGAAAGCCAGGGGAGCGAACCGGAUUAGAUACCCUAGUAGUCC
rnacentral:rRNA from 1 species